AUUGAACGCUGGCGGCAGGCCUAACACAUGCAAGUCGAGCGGAUGAAGGGAGCUUGCUCCUGGAUUCAGCGUCGGACGGGUGAGUAAUGCCUAGGAAUCUGCCUGGUAGUGGGGGAUAACGUCCGGAAACGGGCGCUAAUACCGCAUACGUCCUGAGGGAGAAAGUGGGGGAUCUUCGGACCUCACGCUAUCAGAUGAGCCUAGGUCGGAUUAGCUAGUUGGUGGGGUAAAGGCCUACCAAGGCGACGAUCCGUAACUGGUCUGAGAGGAUGAUCAGUCACACGGGAACUGAGACACGGUCCAGACUCCUACGGGAGGCAGCAGUGGGGAAUAUUGGACAAUGGGCGAAAGCCUGAUCCAGCCAUGCCGCGUGUGUGAAGAAGGUCUUCGGAUUGUAAAGCACUUUAAGUUGGGAGGAAGGGCAGUAAGUUAAUACCUUGCUGUUUUGACGUUACCAACAGAAGAAGCACCGGCUAACUUCGUG
rnacentral:rRNA from 1 species